ACUCCUACGGGAGGCAGCAGUGGGGAAUUUUGGACAAUGGGCGCAAGCCUGAUCCAGCAAUGCCGCGUGAGUGAAGAAGGCCUCCGGGUUGUAAAGCUCUUUCAGUCGAGAAGAAAAGGCUGCAGUGAAUAACUGUAGUUUAUGACGGUAUCGACAGAAGAAGCACCGGCUAACUACGUGCCAGCAGCCGCGGUAAUACGUAGGGUGCGAGCGUUAAUCGGAAUUACUGGGCGUAAAGGGUGCGCAGGCGGUUUUGUAAGUCAGAUGUGAAAUCCCCGGGCUUAACCUGGGAAUUGCGUUUGAAACUGCAAGACUAGAGUGUGGCAGAGGGAGGUGGAAUUCCAUGUGUAGCAGUGAAAUGCGUAGAGAUAUGGAAGAACAUCGAUGGCGAAGGCAGCCUCCUGGGUUAACACUGACGCUCAUGCACGAAAGCGUGGGGAGCAAACAGGAUUAGAUACCCUGGUAGUCCACGCCCUAAACGAUGUCAACUAGUUGUCGGGCCUUACUAGGCUUGGUAACGAAGCUAACGCGUGAAGUUGACCGCCUGGGGAGUACGGUCGCAAGAUUAAAACUCAAAGGAAUUGACGGGGACCCGCACAAGCGGUGGAUUAUGUGGAUUAAUUCGAUGCAACGCGAAAAACCUUACCUACCCUUGACAUGUAGCGAAUUUUCUAGAGAUAGAUUAGUGCCUUCGGGAACGCUAACACAGGUGCUGCAUGGCUGUCGUCGGCUCGUGUCGUGAGAUGUUGGGUUAAGUCCCGCAACGAGCGCAACCCUUGUCAUUAAUUGCCAUCAUUUAGUUGGGCACUUUAAUGAGACUGCCGGUGACAAACCGGAGGAAGGUGGGGAUGACGUCAAGUCCUCAUGGCCCUUAUGGGUAGGGCUUCACACGUAAUACAAUGGCG
rnacentral:rRNA from 1 species